AGUGAACGCUGGCGGUAGGCCUAACACAUGCAAGUCGAACGGCAGCACAGUAAGAGCUUGCUCUUACGGGUGGCGAGUGGCGGACGGGUGAGGAAUACAUCGGAAUCUACUUUUUCGUGGGGGAUAACGUAGGGAAACUUACGCUAAUACCGCAUACGACCUACGGGUGAAAGCAGGGGAUCUUCGGACCUUGCGCGAUUGAAUGAGCCGAUGUCGGAUUAGCUAGUUGGCGGGGUAAAGGCCCACCAAGGCGACGAGCCGUAGCUGGUCUGAGUGGAUGAUCAGCCACACUGGAACUGAGACACGGUCCAGACUCCUACGGGAGGCAGCAGUGGGGAAUAUUGGACAAUGGGCGCAAGCCUGAUCCAGCCAUACCGCGUGGGUGAAGAAGGCUUUCGGGUUGUAAAGCCCUUUUGUUGGGAAAGAAAAGCAGCAGGUUAAUACCCCGCUGUUCUGACGGUACCCAAAGAAUAAGCACCGGCUAACUUCGUG
rnacentral:rRNA from 1 species